rnacentral:hammerhead_ribozyme from 1 species
CUUUUGUUGACGAGUCCCAAAUAGGACGAAACGCUCGUCCUGGAU